rnacentral:rRNA from 1 species
AAGGGUGAGUAACGCGUGAGCAACAUGCCCGGUACUGGAGGAUAGUCGAUGGAAACGUCGCGUAAUACUCCGUAACAACAGUCUUCGCAUGGGGAUUGUUUAAGAGAUUUAUCGAUAUCGGAUUGGCUCGCGUGCCAUUAGCUAGUUGGCGGGGUAACGGCCCACCAAGGCGACGAUGGCUAGGGGUUCUGAGAGGAAGGUCCCCCACAUUGGAACUGAGACACGGUCCAGACUCCUACGGGAGGCAGCAGUGAGGAAUAUUGGUCAAUGGCCGAGAGGCUGAACCAGCCAUGCCGCGUGCGGGAGGACGGCCCUAUGGGUUGUAAACCGCUUUUGUUGGGGAGCAAUAAGUGCCACGUGUGGCGCGAUGAGAGUACCCAGCGAAUAAGCAUCGACUAACUCCGUGCCAGCAGCCGCGGUAAUACGGAGGAUGCGAGCGUUAUCCGGAUUUAUUGGGUUUAAAGGGUGCGUAGGCGGGUUCUUAAGCGUGAGGUGAAAUGCCACGGCUCAACCGUGGAACUGCCUCGCGAACUGGGAGUCUGGAAUGCCCCUGCCGUGGGAGGAAUGUGUGGUGUAGCGGUGAAAUGCAUAGAGAUCACACAGAACACCGAUUGCGAAGGCAUCUCACGAAGGGGUGAUUGACGCUGAGGCACGAAAGCGUGGGGAUCAAACAGGAUUAGAUACCCUGGUAGUCCACGCAGUAAACGAUGAUAACUAACCGCUGGUCCGUUGUGGUUCAGUGGCCAAGCGAAAGCGAUAAGUUAUCCACCUGGGGAGUACGACCGCAAGGUUGAAACUCAAAGGAAUUGACGG